UGGCUAACUCCUACGGGAGGCAGCAGUGGGGAAUAUUGGACAAUGGGGGGAACCCUGAUCCAGCCAUGCCGCGUGUGUGAAGAAGGCCUUAUGGUUGUAAAGCACUUUAAGCGAGGAGGAGGCUACUGAGACUAAUACUCUUGGAUAGUGGACGUUACUCGCAGAAUAAGCACCGGCUAACUCUGUGCCAGCAGCCGCGGUAAUACAGAGGGUGCGAGCGUUAAUCGGAUUUACUGGGCGUAAAGCGUGCGUAGGCGGCUUUUUAAGUCGGAUGUGAAAUCCCCGAGCUUAACUUGGGAAUUGCAUUCGAUACUGGGAAGCUAGAGUAUGGGAGAGGAUGGUAGAAUUCCAGGUGUAGCGGUGAAAUGCGUAGAGAUCUGGAGGAAUACCGAUGGCGAAGGCAGCCAUCUGGCCUAAUACUGACGCUGAGGUACGAAAGCAUGGGGAGCAAACAGGAUUAGAUACCCGUGUAGUCCAGCUGG
rnacentral:rRNA from 1 species